GCCGAGGUGGCGAAAUUGGUAGACGCGCCAGACUCAAAAUCUGGUGGUGGAAACACCGUGCGAGUUCGAGUCUCGCCCUCGGCACCA
rnacentral:tRNA from 1 species